GAUGAACGCUGGCGGCGUGUCUAAUACAUGCAAGUCGAGCGAACGGACGAGAAGCUUGCUUCUCUGAUGUUAGCGGCGGACGGGUGAGUAACACGUGGAUAACCUACCUAUAAGACUGGGAUAACUUCGGGAAACCGGAGCUAAUACCGGAUAAUAUUUUGAACCGCAUGGUUCAAAAGUAAAAGACGGUCUUGCUGUCACUUAUAGAUGGAUCCGCGCUGCAUUAGCUAGUUGGUAAGGUAACGGCUUAUCAAGGCAACGAUGCAUAGCCGACCUGAGAGGGUGAUCGGCCACACUGGAACUGAGACACGGUCCAGACUCCUACGGGAGGCAGCAGUAGGGAAUCUUCCGCAAUGGGCGAAAGCCUGACGGAGCAACGCCGCGUGAGUGAUGAAGGUCUUCGGAUCGUAAAACUCUGUUAUUAGGGAAGAACAUAUGUGUAAGUAACUGUGCACAUCUUGACGGUACCUAAUCAGAAAGCCACGGCUAACUACGUG
rnacentral:rRNA from 1 species